rnacentral:ncRNA from 1 species
AAACCAUAUAAAUGACUCGUAUAACGCCGGGGAUAUGGCCCGGAAGUAUCUACCUGGAGACCGAAAAUUUCCGGACUACGAGGGUAUCUGUACU